GGCGAGGUACGGAGUGUCGCUUUUGGAGCGGACGCGGCGGAUGGGUCUGCGGUCGAUGUCCUCCUCGGAAGAUGCCGCCAUUAAUGUGGGCACGGUGCAUCCUAAGAGGCAGUGCUUGCAGAGCUCCCCUCUUUGGCAGUUUUGAGAAGCCACAGCUUGUAACAGAGGGAACUGGCAGCCCAUCCAAGGACAAGUCAUCCUGAGGGGAAACCAAGGCCACUGCACCACCCAUGCUGUAACGUCACCCACCCACUUCUGUGAGCAUCCUGGACAGCCAGUGUUCUCCAGCUGUGUCGACACCUGGAAUUUUUGGCUGAGGAUCCUCACCACUGUGCCUACACUGUGCCGCACUGCUGCAGAAACCUUCAUCCCAUAGGCUACUCAAGGCAGUUCCAGUUCCAGAGUUUGGAAUACUACUGGAUUUUUCCAUGUGAGGGAAGACCACCACUAGCCGACCAGGGCAAGGAGCCUAAAGACUACCUGGAUUACUUUCUUCAUCUGUUAGUGUGGCAUUUUAUUAGAAAAGCCACAGACCCUGCAUUGCAGAAACUCAUGAAAGAGGCACAGCUGGCCAUGCUGGCCUUCCCCAGGUUGCCAGGUCACCUUAUUGUUGACAGUUCUACCAGUUCUGCAGCACCACUGCCAACCCAUGGCUGUGAACUGGUGAGCUUGGAGACAUUUUGCUGGUUCAGGAGAGAGGUCUCCUAAAGCUCCUUGGGGGUCUCCAUCCCAGUGCCUGAAAAGGUCCCAGAGGACGUAGGGCUCAAUUCACUGUGAACUAGAAUGGCAAACAGUUUGGUUUUCUUCUGGAUCACUUGCCACCAACUACUUAAAAAAAAAAAUACAGACCACCCCCCCUACAAUUGAGCUCUUAUCUGCUGAACUCUGCAUAUGCGAAUUUUGUUUCCUGUUAUUGCAGCAACAGUAGGAUGGAGGAAUGCUCUUGAUUUCCUUUUUCAGAAAAGUUUUCUUUUCUAAACAAUUGGUACUAAGCAGAACAAAACAACUAAGCAACAGCAUGCUUAUUUCACAAAUUUCCAGUAAUGUUAGAGCUCUGUACAUUGUUUCAGCUCUUGCCAAGAUGAAAUUUGAUUGCGUUAAUGUUAAUCAGUAUUAAAUUUGUCUAAGAGACUUCCACUACAGACUUUCUGGAUCUUUAGAGACUGGCCCUGCUCUCAGUUGGAAGAGUGGGCUCUCAGCAUUAGUGCCAGGAACUUCUGUAGGGUUUUCACCAUUCUACAAAAAUAGGUGUGAUCAUAAUGUGCUUGUUCACGUGGCUAUGCAUGUGUACUUGCUGGCAGGGAUAUAGGUGUGACCUUCUCUAGUAACUCUUGAGCCAUCUGACCAAUCUCAACCAGCCUGAUAGAAGAGCAUAGACUACAAUAAUUAUUAAAGUCUUGCAAUUAACAGGAGAGAGACCACAGAAAAUGGCCACUCCAGGGAAAGAGUGCAGGGUGAGCGUCCAACAGAGCACAUGUGAAUGAGCAAGAAAAGUCUCAUUCAGGGCUUGCCGUGAGCUGCUCAUUGGCAGUUUGUAGCAAGGCCAAACACCUUCUCUGAAUGCCUGGAGCAGGCUGAAGCAGGAUAAAAUAGUAGUACAAUCAACAGCAAUGUAAUCAGCAUCACAUGCUUGCUCAUAUACCUAUUUGGAUGGUUAGGAAUUGGAUUAUCCAGUAAGACCAUAAGGGCACAAUCUAUAUCAUAUUUCAUAAGUGCCUGUGUAACAUAUUAGCCAAUAUAAGUUUGGCUACGGAAGUCAUAUUAAUUAACCAAUAGCUGUGAAGAAGGUUCCAGUCUUGUCUUAAAUGAAUCCCUCUGUGCCAUACACUAGACAUUCACUGAUUUCUGGGGGAACGUAAAGUGCUUGUUUAUACACAAAAAACCAAAGCAACUCAAGGGUGUUUUCUUGCCUCAUGAUUUUAAUUAGGACAGAUGAGAUCGAUGGAGCCAGUAAAGAAACACCACCUCCUCACACAGCAGGGACUCUUCAGGCAGUCCCAGUCCUGUGUCUCCUGAAGCCUUUGGAAGAGAGUACAACUUCCAUGUCUUCCCUAAAUUGCACCUAAAUUGCAGCUCACCUUCCUGGAGCGUGAGCUGUUACAAGACUGGAGAAUGGAGUAGUGGAGAUUAGAUAUAAACAUGACCAUUGACACCAUGCACAAUAUGCCUGAACCAGCUCUUUUUUACCCUAGUGGAAUCUGGAUCAGAUUGCACUUUCUGCAGCUGAAAGUCAGUGAGAGGCAGGCCCUACAGUGAUGCUGCCCAGCAACAGCCCAGUCUUAAAGGCAAAUCUGUGAAUUACUGGAACACUAACUGACAUUGUGACAGAGUAGUAUAAUCAAUAUCUUUUCUACAAUAAAACAAUUUAGACAUUUUAUGGCGUGCUCAUCAGAAUUAACUCUUCAGCCAGAAUCUUAUCAGUAGUAUAUGAGCAGCUGGUUUGUUUAUGUUUUUCAUUGUUCAUUUCAAGGAAUUCUCCAUUUGUUUCUUACAAAUUAAUAUCUUGCAUCAUGCCUUACUCUGAUGGCUUAUUUUACAUUUGAGGAAUGCAAAACAAUUGCACAAUAAAUCACAGGAGGAAUGUA